rnacentral:rRNA from 1 species
GAUGAACGCUGGCGGCGUGCCUAAUACAUGCAAGUCGAGCGAACGGACGAGAAGCUUGCUUCUCUGAUGUUAGCGGCGGACGGGUGAGUAACACGUGGAUAACCUACCUAUAAGACUGGGAUAACUUCGGGAAACCGGAGCUAAUACCGGAUAAUAUUUUGAACCGCAUGGUUCAAAAGUGAAAGACGGUCCUGCUGUCACUUAUAGAUGGAUCCGCGCCGCAUUAGCUAGUUGGUAAGGUAACGGCUUACCAAGGCAACGAUGCAUAGCCGACCUGAGAGGGUGAUCGGCCACACUGGAACUGAGACACGGUCCAGACUCCUACGGGAGGCAGCAGUAGGGAAUCUUCCGCAAUGGGCGAAAGCCUGACGGAGCAACGCCGCGUGAGUGAUGAAGGUCUUCGGAUCGUAAAACUCUGUUAUUAGGGAAGAACAUAUGUGUAAGUAACUGUGCACAUCUUGACGGUACCUAAUCAGAAAGCCACGGCUAACUACGUG